AGGACGCUUCCUUCGGGAAGCGAGCGUACACAGGUGCUGCAUGGCUGUCGUCAGCUCGUGUCGUGAGGUGUUGGGUUAAGUCCCGCAACGAGCGCAACCCCUAUCUUUAGUUGCCAUCAGUUCGGCUGGGCACUCUAUGGAGACUGCCACCUAAAGUGGAGGAAGUGGGGAUGACGUCAAGUCAGCAUGGCCCUUACGUCCGGGGCUACACACGUGCUACAAUGGCCGGUACAAAGGGUUGCGAAGCCGUGAGGUGGAGCGAAUCUCAAAAAGCCGGCCUCAGUUCGGAUUGGAGGCUGCAACUCGUCUCCAUGAAGUCGGAAUCGCUAGUAACCGCAGAUCAGCUACGUUGCGGUGAAUACGUUCCCGGGCCUU
rnacentral:rRNA from 1 species